rnacentral:rRNA from 1 species
GAGUUUGAUCAUGGCUCAGGACGAACGCUGGCGGCGUGCCUAAUACAUGCAAGUCGAACGAGAUCCCGGAGCUUGCUCCGGGGGACAGUGGCGAACGGGUGAGUAACACGUGAGAAACCUGCCCUAGAGACCGGGACAACCGUUGGAAACGGCGGCUAAUACCGGAUGCCUUCACACGGUCGCAUGGCCGAGUGAAGAAACGCUCAGGUGCUCUAGGAGGGUCUCGCGGCCUAUCAGCUAGUUGGUGAGGUAAUGGCUCACCAAGGCAUCGACGGGUAGCUGGUCUGAGAGGACGAUCAGCCACACUGGGACUGAGACACGGCCCAGACUCCUACGGGAGGCAGCAGUAGGGAAUCUUGCGCAAUGGGGGCAACCCUGACGCAGCAACGCCGCGUGUGGGAUGACGGCUUUCGGGUUGUAAACCACUUUCAGUGAUGACGAAAAUGACGGUAAUCACAGAAGAAGGUCCGGCCAACUACGUGCCAGCAGCCGCGGUAACACGUAGGGACCGAGCGUUGUCCGGAUUUAUUGGGCGUAAAGAGCUCGUAGGCGGUUCUGUAAGUCGGAUGUGAAAACUCAGGGCUCAACCCUGAGACGCCAUCUGAUACUGCAGUGACUAGAGUCCGGUAGAGGAAGAUGGAAUUCCUGGUGUAGCGGUGGAAUGCGCAGAUAUCAGGAGGAACACCAACGGCGAAGGCAGUCUUCUGGGCCGGUACUGACGCUGAGGAGCGAAAGCAUGGGGAGCAAACAGGAUUAGAUACCCUGGUAGUCCAUGCCG